rnacentral:rRNA from 1 species
GACGAACGCUGGCGGCGUGCCUAAUACAUGCAAGUUGAGCGAUGAAGCUUGGUUCUUGCACCAAUUUGAAGAGCAGCGAACGGGUGAGUCACGCGUGGGGAAUCUUCCUUUGAGCGGGGGACAACAUUUGGAAACGCAUGCUAAUACCGCAUAACAACUUUAAACAUAAGUUUUAAGUUUGAAAGAUGCAAUUGCAUCACUCAAAGAUGAUCCCGCGUUGUAUUAGCUAGUUGGUGAGGUAAAGGCUCACCAAGGCGAUGAUACAUAGCCGACCUGAGAGGGUGGUAGGCCACAUUGGGGCGGAGACACGGACCAAACGCCUGCGGGAGGCAGCAGACGGGAAUGUUCGGCAGUGGACGAAAGUCUGGCCGAGCAACGCCGCGUGAGUGAAGGAGGUUUUCGGAGCGUAAAACUCUGUUGGUAGAGAAGAACGUUGGUGGGAGUGGAAAGAUCAUCGAGUGACGGUAACUAGCCAGAAAGCGACGGCUAACUACGUG